UACAGAGGUCUCAAGCGUUGUUCGGAAUCAUUGGGCGUAAAGCGCGCGUAGGCGGUCAGGUAAGUCCGGUGUGAAAGUCAAAGGCUCAACCUUUGAAUGCCGCUGGAUACUGCUUGACUUGAGUCCGGAAGGGGCGAGUGGAAUUCCUGGUGUAGCGGUGAAAUGCGCAGACUAUCAGGAGGAACACCAAUGGCGAAGGCAGCUCGCUGGAACGGUACUGACGCUGAGGCGCGAAAGCGUGGGGAGCGAACAGG
rnacentral:rRNA from 1 species